rnacentral:ncRNA from 1 species
CCAACCGACACGGGGUGUCCCGGGCAACAGGACCCGGGGCUGAGAUCACACCCGCCGAACCUGACCUCAUUCACAUGAGCGGAGGAAUGUCUGUGCCCACGCCA